AACAAUUCGGGAAGCAAUGACCUUUUCCUCAUAAACGGUCACCGAGGAGGAAGAGUGAGCUAGUGGUGAGACCGGCCCGGAGGGGG
rnacentral:ncRNA from 2 species